GUAGCUGAUCUGAGAAUGAAGUCUCUUUUCCAGACGUAAGCUCUGAGUGUAGAGAAGCCAAGAGGAGCCCAAAGCUUCAGGAAAACACUAACCCUCCCAGAAGCCUAGUAGAAGCCUUGUUUCCAGGGACAGUUGGCCAAGACAUAACAAGCUGGGGGCCAGGAGCACGCUCUGAAAGGCAUGGCUGAGACCUGUUAGAAUAAGCUUCAUGCCCUCGUCUGUCCUGCUCGCCCAGGCCAUGGGGUACCUGAGGCCCUGCCAAAACUCUUGAGUGAGAAACCAAACCCAACUCACCCUGGCCGGGUCUGCACCAUUCCCAGCUGAACAUGAGGCCCCUGCAGCGGGGUGAGUGCACCCCUGUCCUUGGGGCUCCGACCGUGUAUUAUUCUUGAUAGUGCAUG
rnacentral:lncRNA from 12 species